GCAAAUGGCGGGGUGGGGGCCGGGGGAAUGCGUGGGUGGGUAGCGUUGGCCGGAUGUAUGGGGCGUAAAGGGCGGGUAGGCGGUCGGCUAAGUCAGAGGUGAAAAGCCAGGGCUCAACCCGGGAACUGCCUCUGAAACUGGUAGACUUGAGGGCUCUAGAGGGCAGUGGAAUUCCCGGUGUAGCAGUGAAAUGCGUAGAGAUCGGGAGGAACACCAGUGGCGAAGGCGACUGCCUGGGGAGUAACUGACGCUGAGGCGCGAAAGCUGGGGGAGCAAACGGGAUUAGAUACCCUAGUAGUC
rnacentral:rRNA from 1 species